GAUGAAGAACGUAGCAAAAUGCGAUACUUGGUGUGAAUUGCAGAAUCCCGUGAACCAUCGAGUUUUUGAACGCAAGUUGCGCCCGAAGCCUUUUGGCCGAGGGCACGUCUGCCUGGGCGUCACGCAUCGCGUCGCCCCCCACAAUUCUCCGUAAAGGGAACAUGUGUUUUGGGGGCGGAUAUUGGUCUCCCGUGCUCAUGGCGUGGUUGGCCGAAAUAGGAGUCCUUUCGAUGGACGCACGAACUAGUGGUGGUCGUAAAAACCCUCGUCUUUUGUUUCGUGCUGUUGCUCGCAAGGUAAACUCUUUAAAAACCCCAAUGUGUCGUCUCUUGACGACGCUUCGACCGCGACCCCAGGUCAGGCGGGACUACCCGCUGAGUUUAAGCAUAUCAUAAGCGGAGGA
rnacentral:misc_RNA from 1 species